AUCUCUGGGCGGCUCACCUUGGAGUCAGCACAGCUUUUUACUCUGAACUUGCUGCCCAGGACCGGGGCCGCACUGAGGUCUGCAUUCAGGCACCUGUCACCAUGCUCUAUGCCCCUAUUCUUUUCAAAAGUGUCUUAUUUUUUAAAAGGAACUAAGAUACUUGGAACGGAAAAUCACCCAGCUGUUUUAAGCUCACCUUUCCCUCCUCCGGUGCUUGGGAGAAUUUCAGGUUUCAAACGUGGCUGAGCUACCUCAGGGCACAGUGACUAAGUACGUAGCGGAAACAAACAGCCUCCCAGCCUGAGAGGAUACUGAGUGUCACGGGCUCAGACCUUCCUUACUCCCUUAGUGAGCGGAUCCAAGCACAUCCUUCUAAUGCCAUCAGCUUGCAAAGCAUCUCCGAAUUUAUACCUCCCGCCCAGACCUUUCUCCCAAGAUCCAGAAGAAUGCAUUCAACUGAGUCCUUGGAGCAUAUUUUCAA